rnacentral:rRNA from 1 species
AUGGGGGAAACCCUGACGCAGCAACGCCGCGUGUGUGAUGAAGGCCUUCGGGUCGUAAAGCACUGUGAGGUGGAACGAGCCGCCGGGGCGUAAUACCCUUCGGCCCGACGGUACCACCAGAGGAAGCACCGGCUAACCCUGUGCCAGCAGCCGCGGUAAUACAGGGGGUGCAAGCGUUGUUCGGAAUUAUUGGGCGUAAAGCGCGUGUAGGCGGACCAUUAAGUCUGGUGUGAAAUCCCUCGGCUUAACCGAGGACGUGCAUUGGAUACUGGUGGUCUUGAGUCCUGGAGAGGGUAGCGGAAUUCCCAGUGUAGAGGUGAAAUUCGUAGAUAUUGGGAGGAACACCGGUGGCGAAGGCGGCUACCUGGACAGUGACUGACGCUGAGACGCGAAAGCAUGGGGUAGCAAACAGGAUUAGAUACCCUGGUAGUCCAUGCCGUAAACGAUGGGGUGCUAGUUGGUGCGGGUAUUGACCCCUGCGCUGACGAAGCUAACGCGUUAAGCACCCCG